UACGUAGGGGGCUAGCGUUGUCCGGAAUCAUUGGGCGUAAAGCGCGUGUAGGCGGCCCGGUAAGUCCGCUGUGAAAGUCGGGGGCUCAACCCUCGGAUGCCGGUGGAUACUGUCGGGCUCGAGUACGGAAGAGGCGAGUGGAAUUCCUGGUGUAGCGGUGAAAUGCACAGAUAUCAGGAGGAACACCAAUUGCGAAGGCAGCUCGCUGGGACGUAACUGACGCUGAGACGCGAAAGCGUGGGGAGCAAACAGG
rnacentral:rRNA from 1 species